rnacentral:rRNA from 1 species
UACGUAGGGUGCAAGCGUUGUCCGGAAUUAUUGGGCGUAAAGAGCUCGUAGGCGGUCUGUCGCGUCUGCUGUGAAAACUCAGGGCUUAACCCUGAGCUUGCAGUGGGUACGGGCAGACUAGAGUGCGGUAGGGGAGACUGGAAUUCCUGGUGUAGCGGUGAAAUGCGCAGAUAUCAGGAGGAACACCGGUGGCGAAGGCGGCCUUCUGGACAGCAUCU